rnacentral:rRNA from 1 species
UACGUAGGGUGCGAGCGUUAAUCGGAAUUAUUGGGCGUAAAGGGCGCGUAGGCGGUUCUUCAAGUCUCUCGUGAAAUCCCUCGGCUUAACUGAGGACGUGCGGGAGAUACUGAAGGGCUUGAGUCCGGAAGAGGGUGGUGGAAUUCCCAGUGUAGCGGUGAAAUGCGUAGAUAUUGGGAGGAACACCGGUGGCGAAGGCGGCCACCUGGGCCGGAACUGACGCUGAGGCGCGAAAGCGUGGGGAGCAAACGGG